rnacentral:rRNA from 1 species
GCCAGACUCCUACGGGAGGCAGCAGUGGGGAAUAUUGCACAAUGGGGGAAACCCUGAUGCAGCGACGCCGCGUGAGCGAAGAAGUACCUCGGUAUGUAAAGCUCUAUCAGCAGGGAAGAAGAUGACGGUACCUGACCAAGAAGCUCCGGCUAAAUACGUGCCAGCAGCCGCGGUAAUACGUAUGGAGCAAGCGUUAUCCGGAUUUACUGGGUGUAAAGGGAGCGCAGGCGGCCUUGCAAGUCUGAUGUGAAAGGCCGGGGCCCAACCCCGGGACUGCAUUGGAAACUGCGAGGCUGGAGUGUCGGAGAGGCAGGCGGAAUUCCUAGUGUAGCGGUGAAAUGCUUAGAUAUUGCGCAGAACUCCGAUUGCGAAGGCAGCAUACCGGCGGCGAUCUGGCGCUGAGGCACGAAAGCGUGGGUAUCGAACAGGAUUAGAUACCCUAGUAUCA